AUGAAUAUCCUUAGUUGGAACUGCCGGGGAGGGGGAAAUCCCCGGACAGUUCGUGAGUUGGCGACUAUCUGCCAGUCGCAUUCCCCCAGCUUGGUGUUUUUGUGUGAAACAAGGCAGAGAGCGGACAAAAUGAAGAAGGUGCGAGGGAGGAUUGGUCUAAAGGGUUUUGUAGGAGUUGACAGUAAUGGCAUGAGCGGUGGUCUUGCGUUGUAUUGGCAUGAGAGU
rnacentral:rRNA from 1 species